rnacentral:tRNA from 1 species
AUUAGCUCAGCUGGUAGAGCAGUAGACUCUUAAUCUAUUUGUCCAGGGUUCGAAUCCCUGA